AGGAUUCCCCUAGUAACUGCGAGUGAAGCGGGAAAAGCUCAAAUUUAAAAUCUGGCAGCCUUUGGUUGUCCGAGUUGUAAUCUAGAGAAGUGUUAUCCGCGUUGGACCGUGUACAAGUCUCCUGGAAUGGAGCGUCAUAGAGGGUGAGAAUCCCGUCUUUGACACGGACUGCCAAGGCUUUGUGAUGCGCUCUCAAAGAGUCGAGUUGUUUGGGAAUGCAGCUCAAAAUGGGUGGUAAAUUCCAUCUAAAGCUAAAUAUUGGCGAGAGACCGAUAGCGAACAAGUACCGUGAGGGAAAGAUGAAAAGAACUUUGGAAAGAGAGUUAAACAGUACGUGAAAUUGCUGAAAGGGAAACGCUUGAAGUCAGUCGCGUUGUCCAGGGAUCAACCUUGCUUUUGCUUGGUGCACUUUCUGGUUGACGGGUCAGCAUCAAUUUUGACUAUUGGAAAAAGAUUAGGGGAAUGUGGCAUCUUUGGAUGUGUUAUAGCCCUUGGUUGCAUACAAUGGUUGGGAUUGAGGAACUCAGCACGCCGCAAGGCCGGGUUUUUAACCACGUACGUGCUUAGGAUGCUGGCAUAAUGGCUUUAAUCGACCCGUCUUGAAACACGGACCAAGGAGUCUAACAUGCCUGCGAGUGUUUGGGUGGAAAACCCGAGCGCGUAAUGAAAGUGAAAGUUGAGAUCCCUGUCGUGGGGAGCAUCGACGCCCGGACCAGACCUUUUGUGACGGUUCCGCGGUAGAGCAUGUAUGUUGGGACCCGAAAGAUGGUGAACUAUGCCUGAAUAGGGUGAAGCCAGAGGAAACUCUGGUGGAGGCUCGUAGCGAUUCUGACGUGCAAAUCGAUCGUCAAAUUUGGGUAUAGGGGCGAAAGACUAAUCGA
rnacentral:rRNA from 1 species